CGAGGCGUCCUCGACCACCAGUGGGGGGGAGCGGGGAUCAACUGCUCUCCCCCAUCACCACAUCUCGCUGUUGAAACUGUGCCAAAUCCUGUCACCGGUUGCUGCUGUGCUGUUGCUACGCAGUGUGUAAGUAACAUGUAUUCCCAAAGGCAAGUUCACUCGGGGACAAUGUGGGCCUACAUCAGGUCAGACAAUGACACUCAGCAGAGCAGCGGAGCCCCCCACUGAAAAACUAAUUGACUGUUUCCACAAUUGUGUCUAUUAGAAAGCUGCCAUGGGGAGAUGUGUUCGUCUAAGACACGGCAGAUGCCUUCAGGGUGAUGUCUUUUCUGAUCAGUGAGUGAGUGUGGCAUGAACUACACACAUUAUUUAUCACACUUGAUUCUUAACAGUUACAUACUUAAAAACAAAAAAUGUAACAAAAACUACAUGAAGUUUUGAAUGAGACCCCUCCUCCUCCCAUUGAGAACAAGUGUCUCGACUCCGGGAGCUACAGAGACACUCUGUAAUAAACCCAAAACUGAUUUUAUUCUAAUAUGAAAUAUGGACUAGGCUGCCAAUAAAAACCGCAGUCUGUGUGUGAGCUGAGUGAAAUCCUCUGAGCAGAGCUCCUCAUUAUUUCUCAUCCAGCAGACCAGAGUAGAUGCACCUCCCCCGCCAGCCAUCUCCAUGAUCAUCUCUGCUAGUGUAAACUGCGUUGGGAGAAUAUCCGCCGAUACAUGCGCCCUACAUCCCGACGAGCCGGUCCAGGCUAAAUCCCACAUAAAAGAAGGCCCCGUCCAUUUUUUUUAAGUCAGCUGGGGAAUUACAGAAACAAGCAGGUAUUCAGUGAGUGACACCAUGUUCAGCUGCAGCAUCCAGCCGAGUGUGAGCAGCACAACAAACCGGCCUCCGUCUCUGUGCAGCGGCCUGGUUCAGUCGCCUCCGCUGGGCUACAUUUGUGAUGGGGAUGGUGACGAGUCCUCGAGAAACCAGCUCCUUCCAACUGUCCGCACCUCCUGCCUUCUCCUGCUGUCCAGUCCUCCAGUUCAGUGCUGCUUAUGGUUUUAGAGUACAGAUGGCUGAGUUGGAAGUCAAGUUAGUCUAAUUCCUGGAUCUCCCUGCCAUCCUAUUAUCAACGCUGUCCUCUGGUUCAGAGACAGCUGCCUGCUGGAGCUGCAGUCUUCAGGCGGGCACAGUGAACAGGUUGCAGGUUUUGGACUGGCGUUAGCCCGAAAACUUUGUUUCCUGGAUGCUGCCUUGUUUCUAAGACCACAGAGCAAGUGUAUUUGCAGGAAAUGUCCACCUGGUUUGCUGAGAGAUACACAUUCUUAGUGACAGGUCCAUAAAUAUAGCCUAUGGUAUAUUAAUUAUAUAAACAUUAUAAAAUACUGUAAAUAUUCAUGCAAAAAUAUAUAAUGAAAGGGAAAAUGAUGACAUUGAUUGAAUAAUAAGAAAUAAAAACAAAGCAAAACAAACUAACAACAAACAGAGAACUUAGAAUAUAGAUUAAGUAACUAGUCACUUUGCAGUUUGUAAUCUGUGUCAAAGGCAAAGUAGUGCAUUUUUUAAUUUAUUUAUUUCAUUUGCAUUAAUAAUAAAAAACUCUGAAUAUCGGAUCUGGUAAUUGGCCCUUCAUAUA
ensembl:lncRNA